rnacentral:rRNA from 1 species
CUCCCCGAAAGCUAUUUAGGUAGCGCCUCGUGAACUCAUCUUCGGGGGUAGAGCACUGUUUCGGCUAGGGGGUCAUCCCGACUUACCAACCCGAUGCAAACUACGAAUACCGAAGAAUGUUAUCACGGGAGACACACGGCGGGUGCUAACGUCCGUCGUGAAGAGGGAAACAACCCAGACCGCCAGCUAAGGUCCCAAAGUCACAGUUAAGUGGGAAACGAUGUGGGAAGGCACAGACAGCCAGGAUGUUGGCUUAGAAGCAGCCAUCAUUUAAAGAAAGCGUAAUAGCUCACUGGUCGAGUCGGCCUGCGCGGAAGAUGUAACGGGGCUAAACUGUGCAC